CAAAGCGUUAGUAGAACGGCCCUCGGAGGGCUGCUCGGCGGCGCUGAUACUCUUAGCUCCUCGCUCCCGCUGACAGCAAACUAGGCGGAGUCGCGGGGCCGGGUCCCUGCUCCCGCCAUGAGUCUCGCGCGGCCGAGCGCCCCCACAGUGCCGCGUCUCCUCGGCAGUCUGUGCCUGCUGCUGCUGUGGCCGCCAGCUACGAGGGGUGACUGUGGCCCUCCCUCGGAAGUACCUAAUGCCCACGCAGACUUGAGAGGUCUUUCAAGUUUCCCUGUGAAUAGCACAGUCACAUACAGAUGUAAUGAAGGCUUUGUAAAAGUUCUUGGCCAGACAGACUCAGUGAUCUGUCUUGAGAAUGAUCAGUGGUCAGAGAUUUCAGAAUUCUGUAAUCGUAGCUGUGAUUUUCCACCCCAGCUACAUUUUGCAAUGCUCAAAAGGCCUUAUAGCACCCAGAAUUAUUUUCCAGCCGAGUCCACUGUGGAAUAUGAGUGCCGUUUGGGGUACAAAAGGGUCUUUGGUCUAUCACGAACACUAACUUGCCUUCAGAAUUUCAAAUGGUCUGAACCAGCUGACUUUUGUACAAAAAAAUCAUGUACUAAUCCUGGAGAAUUAUUAAAUGGUCACAUCAAUGUAACAACUGACUUCUUAUUUGGUGCAACCAUCUACUUCUCAUGUAAUACAGGGUACAAACUAGUUGGUGCAGAAUUUAGUCACUGUAUUAUUGUGGGUGAUGAUGUUGGGUGGACUGACCCACUUCCACUUUGCACAGAAAUUCAUUGUCAAAAACCACCAGAAAUUGAGAAUGGAAGAAUAAUUGGAGGAGAACGCGACAUUUAUGUAUAUAAUCAGGCUGUAAUGUAUGCGUGUAAUAGAGGCCUUACCCUGAUUGGAAAGGACACCAUUCAUUGUACUGCAAGAGGCGAUGAAGGAGAAUGGAGUGACCCACCACCUCAGUGCCGAGGAAGAUCUCCACCUGCCACCUUCCCACCACCAGAUCCUAAACCUACCACUGCAAAAGUUCCAGGUACAUCAACUUCUCACAAACCCACCACAGUUCCAGGUACAAAAGUCACACCUACUUCUCGGAAACCCUCAAAAGCUCCAGCAACCCAGGGUGAACUUCUUCCCAGGACAACCAAGCGUUCUCAUACAACAACUGUACCUAAAGGAGGAAAGAUCCCUUCAGAUUCUUCCUCAAUUAUAGCCGGAAUUCUUGCUGGUAUUUUAAUAGUUUCUACCCUAAGUCUAGGCAUUGGACUAUGGAAAUUGAGGGCUUAUCAUCGUCGCUGCCGGUAACUGAAACCAUGGAUGAGGGGACUACUGUAUUUCUUUUGCAUUGUAUUUGGGGAUUUUGCGGGCACACAUAUUUAACUUUGACAGUUUUGCUUAUGAUGCUAGUAACUACUGGCUAGCUGACCUAGCCAAAGAAGAGUUAAGAAGAAAGUGCAUACAAGUACACAGAUUAUUUCUAAUUAUUUAGACCUGACUGCAGGAAUGGAUACAAUAAAUGCAGUAGUGCUCUUCGUUUUGAACGUUAUCAUUGUCUUUAACAUGUAUUAGGAAACUCAACAAAGCAAGGAGAAAGGAGUCCACUCUGGAAUCACACACUUAACAUACUUAAGCCUCUUGAAAAUAGAACAACUUACAGAAUUGAGAAUGAUUAUUUUCCUAAAAGUGUAGCAAGGUAUAGACAUUUGUUCAUACUUAGAAUGGGAGCAUGAAGAAAAGAAAAUAAGUGAUUUUUUCCGACUGGAUGUGUAAUAUUUUUACUUAAAAAAGAAAUUUAAAAAAUAUAAAACAUUAAUUGGGUAGCAAAAACAAACAAAAAGCUGAAUCCAGUCUCUUCUAAGCAAAGUUGCCAAGGAGCGAUGAACCACAGUAUAAAAAAUGAGCCUGAAUGGGUUGGCAAAAUAUUUUGAAGGAAAAACAUGCUAAUGAACAAGGAGUAUUGGUGGUGGCAAGGGAAGAGCAUAGAAUGAAAGACUAAUUCUUCUUUUGUUGUAUAAACACAGCCCAUUAUGUGUAACAUGAAUAUGCUACAAUCUUUUCUUUUUUUUUUAAUUGAAAAUGAGUCCUUUAGGUAAAGAUAUCCUCUUUGACUUAAUCUCUUUAAAAGUAUCAGGGAUGUUACAAUAUUAAUAUAAGAAAAGCUUCAAUGUUUCUGAUGUGAGAUGUUCACAGCCAAAUUGUAAAUUGUAUUCUUUUGUAACAUUAAGAUUAAUUUAUUUAUAUUUAUUUCUGUCAGUAAACAUAUUGGUUUUGCAUAUAAAACAAGAAAGCUUAUAUGUAAAGAAAAAUUUAUUUUCCCAAAUAGAAAUAAACAAUUUAUCACAA